rnacentral:lncRNA from 1 species
AAAGGUGGUGUGCUCGAGUGUGAGACCCAGAGGAACAGUGCUCUCUUACGGUGCGCUCGAUGGCAAAAUGGACGCUCACGCCGAUGUGCGCGACCUUAUCAAUCGACAAGUCAAGCUACAUGGGUUCCAUCUGUCAAGGUGGGUUGACACAUUCGAUGCUCCCGGCGUUCGCAAGGUCGCCGAUACCAUCUUCGAGCUCAUGGCCAAGGGAGUUAUGGUUCCCCUUGUUGGGGAGAAGUUCCCUCUCGAGAGAGCAAAAGAAGCGAUUCGUAAAAGCCUGGUAGGUGUUCUUAUUCGUAAUCUUAUUGCUUUCAACCGUUUGAGGUCUUUUGGCGAUGCAGUCUACUGCUCGAGGUGGGAAAGUUUUGUUGGUCAGCUCUUAGAUGAGCCACACGGACAUUUUUGCUAUGAAAAGUUCUUGUGAAUCUUGAGAGUUCGAUAGAGGUGAAACCCAUGGAAUCGACAGAGUAACUUUUCUCUCUCAUGGUAUCGGUCAUCACCACCGAGCUUGGCUGGAUUUCCUGACAACAUAAGCUACGCUGAGAGAGGAUCUAAGCGCAGUCUCGCAAAGAACCUGUGACAUGAGAUGGUCUUGACUUCCAUGCAAGCUCUUUUGUUUUCCCCCCUUAAUUUCUUCGUCGUCUUUGAGUUGGACACUAGCAAGGUGGGCUCAAUAACUGUUCUACUUUUUGCUUUGGUUUGUCAUCCUCAUCCAUGGCGCAGCAGCAGAAGCACAAGGCCAUCCAAGUGGAAUGUUUCAGCUCUGACGAUCCCGCGGCGGGAUGCAAGGUGGCGGUGGUGAGCACGCCCAAGCCAGGCGCCGGCCAAGUGCUGCUCAAAAUCCUGUGUCGCCCAAUCAAUCCCUCGGACAUCCUGUGCAUCCAAGGCAUGUACCCUGACGGCCCCAAGAAGUUCCCAUUCGUUCCUGGGCUCGAGGGAAUGGGAGUAAUUGAAGAGGUACUUUUCUCUACAAUUCUUUCUUGUUCUCUCAAAAUCUUUCCAUAGCUCGGGGAUGGAGUCACCGGGUUCUCGCCGGGGCAGAGAGUGUUUCAUAUUUUCAAGGAGGCGGGAUCUUGGCAAGAGUACGCUGUUGCUUCGGCCAGCGAGAUAAUUCCCAUUCCCGACACCAUCUCUAACGAGGUUGCCGCGCAGUUUUUUAUCAAUCCUUGGACAGGUUUGCUUGUCUUUUUUCUCUAUAUUCUUUAUGCUUGCUUUCUAUGGAUUGACAGUGUAUGGAAUGCUGGAAACUCUCGACGUUCCAAAGGGAGAGUAUGUGCUCCAAACAGCUGCUGGAUCCGUGCUGGGGAGGAUGUUCAUCCAGCUCGCGCGGCAUCGAGGAGUGAAGGUAUGGCUGCAUAGUUUCUCUGCCGAUCGAUUUGAGCGUUUCUUUCCUUUUGUGUGUGUAGACCAUCAAUCUUGUUCGUCGAGACGAGCAGAAGGAAGAGCUCAAGGCCAUUGGAGGCGACGAAGUCAUAAACUUCAAGACCGAGGAUGUUGUGGAGGAAGUGAAGAAGAUCACGGGCGGUAAAUUGGUAUACGGGGCAAUCGAUGCUGUUGGAGGCGCACUGACCAAAGUAAGCUCUUCCUCCGGUUUAUUUUUUCUAUCGCUCUUGCUUAGAACUUUGUUGGGAUCUCCAGGUGGUGUGUUCCAGCGUGAGAAACCAAGGAACGAUCCUUUGCUACGGUGUUCUUGACGAGAAACCAGAAGCUCAAGUGGACCUUAUCGACCUCCUCUUUCGGCAAGUUAAGGUGCAUGGAUUUCACGUCGUCAAAUGGGUGGAAUCGUUAGGCGGCGCCGACGAGUUUCGCCAAAUUGCUGCCACAAUCUUUGAGUUGAUCGCGAAGGGAGUCAUGGCUCCUCUUGUUGGGGAGAAGUUCCCACUCGACAGCACCCCGGAAGCAAUACGUAAAAGCCUGGUCAGUCUUCACACAUCUCUCUCCAAAGACUUUACCUCUCACUCGAUUGAUUUUUGUGGUUUGUGCAGUCGAUAGGCCGAGGUGGGAAAGUUUUGCUGGUGAGUGUCAAAUAGUAGAACUACUGGUUGUGUGAUUAGAAUAUUCUAUCAUAAAGGGGAAUAUGAUGUUUGGUUAACAAAUCAAGAAUCUGUAAUUUUUGGUUUAAUUAUAAAUAUGUUUAUAAAUUAUAAAUACAAGAUUAAUCUAAAUGAAUAGCAACCGUUAGAUGAUAAAAUAUUUUAGAAUAUUCAAAUAUAUUUUAAAUAUAUUUACUAUCAACAAGUUUGCUUAAGCAUAUAAAUUUUAUUAAACCCUUUCUAGUAUAUUUUUUUUAUUCUAUCAUCUAAUGGUUGAUAUGCAAUAUGAUUAAUCUUGUAUUUAUAAAUUACAAACAUGCUUAUAAUUAUAAUUUUUAUUUAAUCAAUUGGAUUAAUAAGUAUAAUAAAACUACUAUUAAGCAAACCAAACAUUGCUACAUGCAAUGCAUAGCAAUUUAAUUGAUAUUGAUUGAGAUUCUUGUGUAGGAGUUUACAAACUAAAUUUGAAUGUCAUUAGAUUGAGGAAUAUCACUUGAAUAUUCUUAAAAUAUCCACUACAACAGAGAACUUGACAUAGAUAUGGACUCUCCAAAGUAAGCUCUCCCUCUAGUUUCUUUAUUCUUUUGUAUUUUCUACCCCUCUUGCUUCUAGGUUCUGGUAUUCAGCGUGCGUGAGAAACCAAGUACGAUCCAUAAAUGAAAGUUAAAAGAGAGCUUUCGGUGGUUUUGACGAGAAACCAGGAGCUCAUCUUCGGCAAGUCGGAGUUUACGUUGUCAAAUCGGUCAGCGGUCCCAGUGAUGUCCGCAAAACCGUUGCCGUAUUCUUUGAGUUGCUAGGGAGUUGCAUGGCUCCUCCCCACUCGACAGUACAAUACGUCAAAGCCGGGUCAGUCUUCACACAUUCGCUUGCUCUCCUCUCUUCUCCAUCCAGACUUUGCUUCUCACUGGUGUGAUUUUCGAUAUCAGGAUCAUCUACUGCGACGUAUUCCAGAGCCUCAUGCCUAUCGUCCGAACUCCACUCCAAUAUGGUACGUUGUUUUAUUCCACUGUUAGAACUGAGAGAGCUAAGUUUCUUCAUAUUCAUCCACAGGAUUCGUCACGUCUCGAAGCGCCUGCUGCGGCGCUGGGAGAUUCGGCGGCUAGAUGAUGUGCAUGUUCCCGCAGAUGGCUUGCAGCAACGCGAGCUCCUAUCCCUGGUGGGACGAGUUCCAUCCUACUAACAAAGCGAACUUUCUCCGGGAAAUGUGUGCGAGCCUGGCAGCCUUCAAGAUCUCGCCAAGGCAUCCUGAGCAACUCGCUCGAGAGAGCUUCGUUUUGGUCUUCCGCGCGAAAGGCGGGGUUGAAGGGCUUGAUGUCCACAGAGAGGACUCAAAUAGUCUUGGAACUCAUCACGCCGCUUGUCCUGGAGCUCCUACUUUUGCAGAGUUCCGUGAUCUCGAGUAUACAUUUUUGUUGUAUGGAGAAAACUUUAAACUUCACGAUAUCGUAGUAUCAUCGUGUUCCUCCUUGUAAAGCUAGCACAGGCUGUAAAGAGUUUCAAGCAACGGCCAAAGGAUAGCGAUUGGUUAAUUAGAACGUUGGAUGAAGUGAUUUGGAACUUCAAACCUUUGGUGGCAGACCAUCAACCUUGUUCGUCGGAGAAGCGCUGACGAGGUCAUCAAUCUCAAGGACGAAGGCAUUGUGAAGCAAGUGAGUGAAAUCACGGGUGGUAAAAUGGCCUACGCCGCCAUCGACGCUGUUGGAGGUGAAGUAACCAAAGUAAGUUCUUGUCCUCGUGAAGCAGCGUUUUGAUUUGCAAAGUUUGCUCAAAAGGUGGUGUGCUCGAGUGUGAGACUCAGAGGAACAGUGCUCUCUUACGGUGUGCUCGAUGGCAAAAUGGACGCUCACGCCGAUGUGCGCGACCUUAUCAAUCGACAAGUCAAGCUACAUGGGUUCCAUCUGUCAAGGUGUAACACAUUCGAUGCUCCCGGCGUUCGCAAGGUCGCCGAUACCAUCUUCGAGCUCAUGGCCAAGGGAGUUAUGGUUCCCCUUGUUGGGGAGAAGUUCCCUCUCGAGAGAGCAAAAGAAGCGAUUCGUAAA